GAUGAACGCUGGCGGCGUGCCUAAUACAUGCAAGUCGAGCGAACAGACGAGAAGCUUGCUUCUCUGAUGUUAGCGGCGGACGGGUGAGUAACACGUGGAUAACCUACCUAUAAGACUGGGAUAACUUCGGGAAACCGGAGCUAAUACCGGAUAAUAUUUUGAACCGCAUGGUUCAAUAGUGAAAGACGGUCUUGCUGUCACUUAUAGAUGGAUCCGCGCUGCAUUAGCUAGUUGGUAAGGUAACGGCUUACCAAGGCAACGAUGCAUAGCCGACCUGAGAGGGUGAUCGGCCACACUGGAACUGAGACACGGUCCAGACUCCUACGGGAGGCAGCAGUAGGGAAUCUUCCGCAAUGGGCGAAAGCCUGACGGAGCAACGCCGCGUGAGUGAUGAAGGUCUUCGGAUCGUAAAACUCUGUUAUUAGGGAAGAACAUAUGUGUAAGUAACUGUGCACAUCUUGACGGUACCUAAUCAGAAAGCAACGGCUAACUACGUG
rnacentral:rRNA from 1 species